AAACCUACCUAUCAGGAGAAACACCGGGAUCACAAAGUUAGUUGUUCCAGGGCGAGGCUUAUACAUUGCACUUUGGUUGUGCUGAUCCCUGCGAUUACGCCAAAUGUGGGAAACUAGACUGCUUAAUUUGUGGUAGUGGGGGACUGUGUUCAUGCUCUCCCCUG